GAUGAUGCGCAAAGCGCAUGAAUAUCGAAUGUCCUAGGAAAAGGUCAGAUGCACAGUUUUGCAUUUGCCUUUUGCCCUGCCUAAUGUGCUUUAAAACGAGCCAUGACUCUGGGCAGACCCCAGGUGCCUCUCUUCUGUGCUCACUUCAAGGCCUUCAGUCGAUCCCGACCACCAACCAGGAAACGGAGCUCUGGAGGGUAAACACAGCUUCUUCUGGAAGAGAUACGACAGCGUGCCCCCUUCCGCCCCCUCCCAUUUCACGGUAUAUUCCCACUAAUGAACCAAGGCUGGCUGUGGGAACUCCUGCAAGGAAAUCAACCCUAGGUCUACAGCCC